rnacentral:lncRNA from 1 species
CUAAAACAGGUAGCAGCCAGAGAACGUAAAUUACGUUGUUACACAGACAUCGAUGGCGACAACAUGUGUUUGUGAUUUUUCGCGAUACGGUGUCCUAAACCGUCCUCAACAUACUAAGCCCGUAAUGGGAGAUUUGGAGGUACCUGGUCAGGUCUUGGUCAGCCUUCAAAUCCCAGAUGUGGAGACUGCAGGGAUACCUCACAGAGAAGACACUAAAGAGUCAUCUCUCAUUCAUCGAGUGGACUCAUUGGUUUGCGAAUGACCACAAAGAUGCUCCCAUAGGCAGAUUGCUGCAUGGCAUUCACCACUUAUUCAAAUUGUAGAGGUUGAAGCAGUCUUCCUUGUGGUCACCUGCCAUAACACUAGGGGUGAAACGGAUCAGUGUGUCCACGGUUCGGUUCAGAUAACCAUUUUGGGCCUCGGUUUCGGAUACGGUUCGGAUUAGGAUCAUGUCCGUGGUAGUAAAAAGGCAGACUUUUUUUUGACGGAGGGUUUGGGGGAGAAACACAAAAAUGAAUGAGACCCACAGGCUAUUUGCAAUGUGUUAAUUGACUGCAAUCAGACAACUUGCAAGGCUUUUUUGUGCAAUAAAUGUUCCCCUAAAUGCAUUUGAAAACAUGGUGCACUGACACAUGUAAGGGAUUACGGCCGACGAGGCUUAGAACUCUGGCGACGAGCGCAGCAUGAAGCCAGAGUUGCCUCUACCUGUCCAUUAUUUCCAUCGAACCGGUCGACCUCGAAGGCCGUUAUCCCGCUUAUCACCCGUUUGUAUUUAUCUCCCGUAUAUUUAGAAUAUAAUUGUAUCAAUUACUUUCUUUAAAUUUAGGAAUCGUGCGCUUGAACUUCAGAAAACAACCUAUUACAGCUACCUCAUUGGCUCGGGCAGCACUGGAGAGAAUGCAUUCCGCUGGGUCCUAAACACCCUUUUGUAUCGGACGUAGGCUACAGUAGGCAAAAUACGCUACAUAAGGCAAUGCCUUCAUGAAACCGAAAUCCGCGGAUCUCCAGAAUGCUCCGAACUGUGGUAAACGAACCGAACGGAUUCGGAUACAAUUCGAAUCCGCUGCAGGCCUACAUAACACUGUCAUGUGUUUUAUGAAAACACCAUCAGUAACAUUUAAAUUGAGUUGAUGUGGACGGCUCUUUUUUUUGUCCGAUUUCUUCAGUGUUCAGUGCCUGUUUGUGAGAUAUGCAUUGUUUGAAAGAUAAGCCUUUGAUUUUGUUUAAUUUUAAUAUGUCUUUCAUCAACAGUGGUUUGGGGUUUUAUAACAACAAUUAAAGUGCUUAACUACUGGUGAACGAUGUUGCAGAACAUAUAUGGUUUGUGUUGAUUGCAUGGAAAAGGGAUUAACCAGUUACAACUUAUAUGGUAAGAGCCUGGUAAUACCAUGGAAACAAACGAGGCUUCCUUUUACAGUACAGUUUCAGCUUACUUACUGGGUAAAUUGUCGUGUUUUACUUGGUAACGUCGCAGAACGUACAUGGUACAAGUUUGUGUUGACUGCAUGGAAAAGGGAAUAAUGUAUUACAAAUUAUAUGGUAAGAACCUGGUAAUACCAUGGAAACAAACGAGGCUUCCUUUUACAGUACAGUUUCAGCUUAAUUACUGGGUAAAUUGUCGUGUUUUACUUGGUAACGUCGCAGAACGUACAUGGUACAAGUUUGUGUUGACUGCAUGGAAAAGGGAAUAAUGUAUUACAAAUUAUAUGGUAAGAACCUGGUAAUACCAUGGAAACAAACAAGGCUUCCUUUUACAGUACAGUUUCAGCUUAAUUACUGGGUAAAUUGUCGUGUUUUACUU